AAUUCAGUGAAUCAUCGAAUCUUUGAACGCACAUUGCACUCUCUGGUAUUCCGGAGAGUAUGCUUGUUUGAGUAUCUGUAAACAUCUCAAAUCUCUACUUUAUUGUAAAGAAUUGGACUUGAGCAAUCCCAACUCCUUCGUCAGAAAGAGAAGGGUUGCUUGAAAUGCAGGUGCAGCUGGACAUUCUUCUGAGCUAAAAGCAUAUUUAUUUAGUCCCGUCAAACGGAUUAUUAUUCUUGCUUCAGCUUAUAUAAAGGUUGAAUGACUACCAAGGCUGAUUGCAGGUAAACUCGUUCCGUAAAAAAGAACUUGUAAACUCGAUCUCAAAUCAAGUAAGACUACCCGCUGAACUUAA
rnacentral:sRNA from 1 species